AUGUGUUGCGCGGGAGAAUGCAACGGCGGGGAGCAGGGAGGUCGGGGUUGUCCGAGCUAUGGUGGAUGUCGAGGAGGAGGAGAAGUACGCACUUGGCAGCGUGGGCAGGGUGCUUGCCGGAAUGCCACAAAGAUGGGCGCCACCGUGCUCACCGGCGGUGUCAAUUUGGCGGUCAACUCCAGCUGCGUCGCGGCUUCCGCGCUCUGCCUCUUCAGGCAUGGCAAUCUCAUGGCGAAUAGGGUGACCAAGGAGGUCCCCGUUGAUUCCUUGAUGGAUCAGACGGGAAUCUGUGGAUAUCUUCGUCAAAGGUGA
rnacentral:rRNA from 1 species